UAUUCCGGAGAGGGAGCCUGAGAAACGGUACCACAUCCGAGGAAGGCAGCAGGGGCGCAAAUUACCCAAUCCCGACACGGGGAGGUAGUGACAAUAAAUACUGAUACAGGGCUCUUUUGGGUCGUUGGUGAAUUGGAAUGAGUACAAUUUAAAUCCCUUAACGAGGAACAAUUGGAGGGCAAGUCUGGUGCCAGCAGCCGCGGUAAAUUCCAGCUCCAAUAGCGUAUAUUAAAGUUGUUGCAGUUAAAAAGCUCGUAGUUGAAACCUUG
rnacentral:rRNA from 1 species